AUACGGAGGGGGCCAGCGUUGUUCGGAAUUACUGGGCGUAAAGCGUACGUAGGCGGACUGAUCAGUUGGGGGUGAAAUCCCAGGGCUUAACCCUGGAACUGCCUUCAAUACUGUCAGUCUUGAGUUUGGGAGAGGUGAGUGGAAUUCCUAGUGUAGAGGUGAAGUUCAUAGAUAUUAGGAGGAACACCAGUGGCGAAGGCGGCUCACUGGCCCAUUACUGACGCUGAGGUACGAAAGCGUGGGGAGCAAACAGGAUUAGAAACCCCAGUAGUCC
rnacentral:rRNA from 1 species